rnacentral:rRNA from 1 species
AUGCGACAAUUUGGAUUAAGACAGGCCAUUCCACCUUCUAUUCCACGUGGCGAGGCAGAGCUUCGGAGACAGCGAAAAAUUAAGCAUUCUGCAGGAAAAUCGCAUAAUUGGGAGGAAUUCCAUGUCAAUUACGUUCAAGAAUACAAUCGCGUUCAAGCAAGUGUGUUGUCAGAAGAAAUUCCCUUCGAUGUAGCUAGUUUCCCUGAUUACAGACAUUGGUUCCAACAAAAUGGUAUGUACACAGUAUUCUUCGAUUCUCAGUGCUUGGGCGGCCUAGAUAAAUCUAUUCCAUAUCCUCGAGAUAGUAUCGAAUGGACUGGCUACAUGCCUAGUGGUCCGCCACUGGCUCGAAUUGGGUUACGUGAGUUAAAGAAUGCCACAUGGGGGAUAAAAUGUGCUACUACUAGUAGAUGCAAGAAGAUAGGGAAAUCUGUAUUGAGGUCCUGUGUAGGAAAUUUGUCAGAUCUGAACUUGGAGCCUAGGCUGCAAAGCAUGCUCACUGAGGCUAGGUUACCACUGAAGAUUGAAGAUAUUCCAUCUGACGAUGAUGCUUCCUAUAUUGCUCAGCCACCAAGCCCCCCAAAAGAGAGCAAUUCUAAUGUGUUUAAUGAAUGGAUAUACUCUAGCAAAGGUUUUACAACAUACUUGAAGGCUGGUGAAGCAAUGAGCGAUGGAGAACCUACAACACAAGAUGUAGGUCAAGUGACCCAACAGACCAACUCUAAUGAGCUGGUUAGAACUAGUAGGCAUCAAUCUAGGAGUCCGUAG